CCAUGCAAGGUCGAACGGAGUGCCUUCGGCACUUAGUGGCGGACGGGUGAGUAANGCGNUGAGAAUCUGCCUUCAGGACGGGGACAACGACUGGAAACGGUCGCUAACACCCGAUGAGCCGAGAGGUAAAAACUUUAGUGCCUGAAGAAGAGCUCGCGUCGGAUUAGCUAGUUGGUGAGGUAAGAGCUUACCAAGGCGACGAUCCGUAGCUGGUCUGAGAGGAUGAUCAGCCACACUGGGACUGAGACACGGCCCAGACUCCUACGGGAGGCAGCAGUGGGGAAUUUUCCGCAAUGGGCGCAAGCCUGACGGAGCAACGCCGCGUGCGGGAGGAAGGCCCUUGGGUUGUAAACCGCUUUUGUCAGGGAAGAAGCUCUGACGGUACCUGACGAAUCAGCAUCGGCUAACUCCGUGCCAGCAGCCGCGGUAAUACGGAGGAUGCAAGCGUUAUCCGGAAUCAUUGGGCGUAAAGCGUCCGCAGGUGGUUAAACAAGUCUGCAGUCAAAGCGUGGGGCUUAACUCCAUAUCGGCUGUGGAAACUGUUUGACUAGAGUACGGUAGGGGUCGCGGGAAUUCCCAGUGUAGCGGUGAAAUGCGUAGAUAUUGGGAGGAACACCAGCAGCGAAGGCGCGCGACUGGGCCGUAACUGACACUGAGGGACGAAAGCCAGGGGAGCGAAAGGGAUUAGAUACCCCUGUAGUCCUGGCUGUAAACGAUGGAUACUAGGUGUUGCACGUAUCGACCCGUGCAGUGCCGUAGCUAACGCGUUAAGUAUCCCGCCUGGGGAGUACGCACGCAAGUGUGAAACUCAAAGGAAUUGACGGGGGGCCCGCACAAGCGGUGGAGUAUGUGGUUUAAUUCGAUGCAACGCGAANAACCUUACCAGGGCUUGACAUGUCCGGAACCCUCUUGAAAGGGAGGGGUGCCUU
rnacentral:rRNA from 1 species